rnacentral:lncRNA from 1 species
AGGUGGAAAGGGAGAAACAAACCGACUCACUUCCGCACAAAUGGUGCAGAUGGUGAAGAUUAAUAACUCCGGCAGGAGAUGGGGAGUUUGGUCUAGAAGAAGAGAGAGUCCAGUGCCGUUAACUCUGGGAAUAGUUAAUGCACACUCCACACUGGAAAACAUAAUUUCUCCUUUUCUCCCUCCCCCCCCACCCCCCAGGUACAGCUGGAAGCCCAGUAAGUUCGCUUGGAAGCAUCUGUUCCCGAGGAGCCGGCAGAGGCUUCGUGCCUGGCCGGGCAGCCGGCUCCCUCCAGCCCCGCCGGCGGCGGCGGGCAGGGCCGGCGGGCAGAGCCGCCGCCGGGCGGAGGGCAGAGCUGCGCCUUCCUCCGGGGUCACCGGCAGCGGCUGGCUCGGCGGCAGCAUCUCGGACGGCAGCGGCAGUGCCGCCCCCGGCAGGGAGCGCGUUGGCCGGCCCCACCGGCCCCGUCCUUCCCGCGAGGGGGGAGACAGAGAUCGGCAAGCGCUGAGAGCCCUGGCUGGAGCAGGGCGAAGGGCUGCAACAGGUUCCAUUGCAAAGAAGGCCCAGAGACUGAAGGCUUUAUCCUGUCUUACUCAAGAAAAAUACCUAUUCAAGUCAGCGAGUAGUUUGAUUGAAUGAGGGCAGUGAAAGUAGUCCAUAGUGGAAAUUUUUUAAAAAGAGAGGUGGGCAUCUAACGCCCUCACGUAAAUCCUGCUGAAGUGUGGGGCUGAGGGAGUCCACUGACUUCAGUGGGAUCGUUUUGAAGAACAGGGUAAGUGACACAUAGUGGAUGGGGACAGAGAAGCGUGAUACUGACAACGUGGUCAUCUUUUCCAUCUAAGGGUCUUUUUCAAGCCUGGUAAAAUUUGAACUAUAAAGGAAAGUACAUAAGAACUUGUUGAAGAAAAAAAAAGCAAAAUGAAAACUGUGAGUCUUGUGCUUCACCGUCCUCCAUGAAGCCUCAUAUGGCUUCCUGGUAUGAGCCCAGGGAUAUACAUGGAAGUAGUCCCCAAUUGGUGAUAAAAAGCACUGUGGAGCUACAGGGUGGAAUAGGAUUAGGGCCUUGACCAGAAUGCCCCAUGAAACAAUGCCCAGGGUGAAACAAGGCCACUUCUGUCUAGGUAGAAAUAUUCACCACAGCUCGUCCUGUGGGUUGGUAUUUUGUUAAAACAGAACACCCACCCAGCAAUAUUGAACUAGGCUGUUUCAGUGUUCUUAGGCAGAAGAUUGUCAGUUAAAAAAAAAAACAAACCCAGAUGUGUUUUAACUUUCUCUAUAGAAAAAUAAAAUGUUAAAGUAGAAAAAAAUAAGUUAUUUA